AACGAACGCUGGCGGCGCGUAUUAAGCACGCAAGUCGAACGGGAACCCGGGGGCAACCCUGGGGGAGAGUGGCGAACGGGUGAGUAACACGUAGGUGAUCUGUCCCUGGGUGGGGUAUAGCCCAUGGAAACAUGGGGUAAUACCGCAUGAGGUCCUGGAGCUUGAAGGCUUCUGGAUGAAAGGCGCAAUUGGGUUGCCUGGGGAUGAGCCUGCGGCUCAUUAGCUAGUUGGUGAGGUAAGUGCCCACCAAGGCGACGAUGGGUAGCCGGCCUGAGAGGGUGUACGGCCACACUGGGACUGAGACACGGCCCAGACUCCUGCGGGAGGCAGCAGCUAAGAAUCUUCCGCAAUGGGGGAAACCCUGACGGAGCGACGACGCGUGGACGAAGAAGGCCGCAAGGUUGUAAAGUCCUUUUGCAGACGAAGAAUAAGGCGAGGAGUGGAAAGCCUGGCUGAUGACGUUAGUCUGCGAAUAAGCCCCGGCCAAUUACGUGCCAGCCGCCGCGGUAACAC
rnacentral:rRNA from 1 species